GGGGACGACAUGGUUUCGACGGGAGCCGAGGAGUUGAGAAUAGCAUGUCGAGGACUCCGGAACCUCGAAAAUCACCCGGAAACAAAAAUUAAACGCAGAUAACUAUGCGUAUGCAAUGGCUGCCUAAUUAAGCAGCCCGCUCCAACUUGAUUUUACCUGUCGAAUCUGGUUGCGAGUGUCGACUCCUGACAGGUUAGUCAUCUGUUGCGCCUUCGGAUAGAUGAUGAAAUUUUAGCGGGCUGGCUAUCUCAGGUUUUGUCGGUUGCACCUGAAAUAGCGAGAUUCAAACAACCAACUAAGCAUGUAGAAAUUCUCAAUGAAUGACUUUCGGACGCGGGUUCGAUUCCCGCCGUCUCCAUCC
rnacentral:tmRNA from 1 species